rnacentral:rRNA from 1 species
UACGUAGGGGGCAAGCGUUGUCCGGAAUCAUUGGGCGUAAAGGGCGCGUAGGCGGCCUUCUAAGUCGAACGUGAAAUCCCCGGGCUCAACCCGGGAACUGCGUCCGAUACUGGGAGGCUUGAAUCCGGGAGAGGGAUGUGGAAUUCCAGGUGUAGCGGUGGAAUGCGUAGAGAUCCGGAAGAACACCGGUGGCGAAGGCGGCCUGCUGGGCAGUUGCUGACACUGAGGCGCGACAGCGUGGGGAGCAAACAGG